AUGGAAGCUGCUGGUAUGGAAGAGAAAAUUAAGUUGGCUCUGGAGAAGAAGGACUCGUACCUCGCCGCUGCGCAGAAGGAAGCCCAAGAUAAAACUGCUCUUGCAGACCAGAAGUUGGCUUCAGCCGAAGCACUGGAAGGGGAGGUGACCAAGCUGAAGUCCUGUCUCAACAAGUCUAACCAAGAGGCGAGUUGUCUGAAGAAGGAAAAAAUUGCCCUGAAUGAAAAGCUGGAGUCUGCGGUCCACAAGAGGAAUGACACGGAGGCUUAUCUGAGAACUCUUGCCAAGAAGCUCUAUCUUAUGUUGGAAGAAUUAUGCCAAGACUUUGACGAGGAAACUGGAAGGGUUGAGACGGGUCUGGACCCUAUCGCUUCUCCAGUUUGCGACGAAACUACAAUGAACAUGCUCCGACUGGAGUCUCGUGUCGCCGGCGUCGCAAGCUACCUCACACGUCUGAAGGAGGCAGACUCAAGAGUCGACUCAUUGCUCUGGCCAAGGGCGACGCUUCAAAAUGACCUGGAAUCCUUGAUGGCUCGACUCAACGAGAUACCUGACCGAGUGCAAGAAUGGAAGAAGUCCUCCGCCCGGUGUGGCGUUGACGUGGCGCUGUCCUUGGUGCGAGUCCACUGCAAGGAAGCUCGUGAAGACAAGCUGGCGGCGAUCAAGGUCGCUAACACCAAAAGGCAUGACUUCCAGUCCUUCAUGGAGACUUUCAUCACUGCUGCCACUCGGAUCGUGGAUGGAAUCGACCUGGACGAAUUCGUCGAGCCUGCCAGCCCUCCUCCUGCCGAGUGA
rnacentral:rRNA from 1 species